rnacentral:rRNA from 1 species
AACGAACGCUGGCGGCAUGCCUAACACAUGCAAGUCGAACGAGACCUUCGGGUCUAGUGGCGCACGGGUGCGUAACGCGUGGGAACCUGCCCUUAGGUUCGGAAUAACUCCCCGAAAGGGGUGCUAAUACCGGAUAAUGUCUUCGGACCAAAGAUUUAUCGCCUUUGGAUGGGCCCGCGUUGGAUUAGCUAGUUGGUAGGGUAAAAGCCUACCAAGGCGACGAUCCAUAGCUGGUCUGAGAGGAUGAUCAGCCACACUGGGACUGAGACACGGCCCAGACUCCUACGAGAGGCAGCAGUGGGGAAUAUUGGACAAUGGGCGAAAGCCUGAUCCAGCAAUGCCGCGUGAGUGAUGAAGGCCUUAGGGUUGUAAAGCUCUUUUACCCGAGAUGAUAAUGACAGUACCGGGAGAAUAAGCUCCGGCUAACUCCGUG